GCUCUUUUGGGUCUUGUAAUUGGAAUGAGUACAAUUUAAAUCCCUUAACGAGGAACAAUUGGAGGGCAAGUCUGGUGCCAGCAGCCGCGGUAAUUCCAGCUCCAAUAGCGUAUAUUAAAGUUGUUGUGGUUAAAAGCUCGUAGUUGAACCUUGGGCCUGGCUGGCCGGUCCGCCUCACCGCGUGUACUGGUCCGGCCGGGCCUUUCCCUCUGUGGAACCCCAUGCCCUUCACUGGGUGUGGCGGGGAAACAGGACUUUUACUUUGAAAAAAUUAGAGUGCUCCAGGCAGGCCUAUGCUCGAAUACAUUAGCAUGGAAUAAUAGAAUAGGACGUGUGGUUCUAUUUUGUUGGUUUCUAGGACCGCCGUAAUGAUUAAUAGGGACAGUCGGGGGCAUCAGUAUUCAAUUGUCAGAGGUGAAAUUCUUGGAUUUAUUGAAGACUAACUACUGCAAAAGCAUUUGCCAAGGAUGUUUUCAUUAAUCAGGAACGAAAGUUAGGGGAUCGAAGACGAUCAGAUACCGUCGUAGUCUUAACCAUAAACUAUGCCGACUAGGGAUCGGACGAUGUUAUUUUUUGACUCGUUCGGCACCUUACGAGAAAUCAAAGUGCUUGGGCUCCAGGGGGAGUAUGGUCGCAAGGCUGAAACUUAAAGAAAUUGACGGAAGGGCACCACCAGGGGUGGAGCCUGCGGCUUAAUUUGACCCAACACGGGGAAACUCACCAGGUCCAGACACAAUGAGGAUUGACAGAUUGAGAGCUCUUUCUUGAUUUUGUGGGUGGUGGUGCAUGGCCGUUCUUAGUUGGUGGAGUGAUUUGUCUGCUUAAUUGCGAUAACGAACGAGACCUUAACCUGCUAAAUAGCCCGUAUUGCUUUGGCAGUACGCUGGCUUCUUAGAGGGACUAUCGGCUCAAGCCGAUGGAAGUUUGAGGCAAUAACAGGUCUGUGAUGCCCUUAGAUGUUCUGGGCCGCACACGCGCUACACUGACGGAGCAGCGAGUUCUCCCUUGGCCGGAAGGUCCGGGUAAUCUUGUUAAACUCCGUCGUGCUGGGGAUAGAGCAUUGCAAUUAUUGCUCUUCAACGAGGAAUCCCUAGUAAGCGCAAGUCAUCAGCUUGCGUUGAUUACGUCCCUGCCCUUUGUACACACCGCCCGUCGCUACUACCGAUUGAAUGGCUCAGUGAGGCGUCCGGACUGGCCCAGAGAGGUGGGCAACUACCCCUCAGGGCCGGAAAGCUCUCCAAACUCGGUCAUUUAGAGGAAGUAAAAGUCGUAACAAGGUCUCCGUUGGUGAACCAGCGGAGG
rnacentral:rRNA from 1 species